AGGCUGCCAACAACAAGGCUGCCAACAACAAAGCUGCCAACAAAAAGGCUGCCAACAUACGUUAACGUGAACGCCCCACGCUGCAAGAUCAACGCCCCACAACCUCCACAACUUCCGCGUGCUUCUCGCCCUCAUAGAAGUGUUCCUGGUCGACAUCGACGAGUCACCGCACAUACGCAGUUCAUCCUCCCGGGCAGCGGUAAUUACAGCCUUUGCCCGUGAGGAUGAACAGCGUAUUUGGGGUGAGGUUAUCACAGCCCCGCGGUUCAAAGUCAAGAACACCGUCAUUAAACGCCGCAAACAGAGGCGCCUGGCGUGAGUUUCACCUUUAAAAAAGAGCAAUAAUUAAAUAUCCGGAAUGUCAAAACCAAAUACAUACGACUCGAUUUUUUAAAAUAGUUUUAGUAGAAAAUUAUCCAAUAGGGUUAGCAAUUUAUUAUUAAUUGUUUAAUACAUAUUUUAACCACGUUGACGUUUUUGUAUAGAUAUUCCAUCAGAUAAAUUGACUGACUUGAUAGUAUGGAUGUCACAACUUUUUACUGUAGAAGAACUGCGUUAUGAGACCGUUUUUUUUACGAUUUAUGUUUAUGAUGGCAUCUCAUUUGUUUUUGUAGAUAGUCCUACUUAUUUUUUUUCCGGUAACUUCUUCUUGAGUACCAACAACGGAUUUCCUUAUAACAUUACCUAUUUUAUUGGAAUCCGGAAUGUAUGGCCCAUGUAUUUCCACUUACGACGCUUGAUCUGCUAGCUAAUCGGAGUUUCUCGGCAGCGCUUCCAAAGUUGCUCGUUACAGAUCUUCUCGGGCCAGUAGACAUUUAGAAUACGGCAAAGACUGCGGUUGACGAAGACUUGAAGUCGGUGCGAGAUGUCUUUCGUGACCUUCACACCCAUAGAGCAGCACAGAUUUGAAGUUAGAUCCGAUUAUUUUAAUCGCACUUAAAGUUUCUUUAAAUUAAUAAAAUACUUAACCCAUUAUUUAGAUUUUUAUACACAUUAUUUAAAUGUUUAUAUCUAAACUGAACCAUUUCCGUACACAUCAACACCUAUUAUUCCAUUAUAAUACACAGGUGCACUGAUUCAUUAACCGCAUGAAUAACUCUGUGAUCCCAUAUAAAUAUAUAGGAUAACAAAGUUAUUUGUGCAGUUGGUGUAUCUAGAAAACUGGAUAAAAAUUGCAAAUAUUUUAGUUUUCCUUGAUUUUUACACUAAUUUCUAAUUGUAUAUUCUAAAUUGUAAGCUCCUAUAUCUGCUCUAAAUAAUAAUAAUAAUUUCUAUUGAACCCGCAAUCGCAUCCGCAAUGAAUCAACCUAAUUUUUAAUUUCAAAACACUACAGGUAUUGAAUAGAAUCACAAAACAUGUCUUCAGCGAGAAAGCUUCUCCGAGGUGCGAUUGGCGCUCAUAAAUUAUGAACACUGAACAUCAAACGGUGCAAGAACAACGCGUCCGAAAACCCCCACAACCACGGCGCCCGCUCCACGCUGGCUCGCCUGGACGUGUUCCUGGACGACCGCAGCGAAUCACCAUCACCUCACGGCCAUAGGUUAUACUUACCUCUGCCCGUAAGGAUGAGCAGCUUAUGUGAGGUGAGGUGAACACCCAACGGUGCAAGAAUAUCGUGCCCGAAGACCUCCACAACGGCGGCCCGCUGGACCUGUUCCUGGACGACCACCGAAUCACCGCACAUACGCUGUGCUGGAUGAAUAGCGUAUUGGAGGAGGUGAGGUAAGCACAGCGCCGUUGGACCCAAAGUCAACCCCCCAUCAUCAAACGCCUCAAGCAGAGGAACCUCUCAUUCUUCGUCAUCAAAAUCAUCAUCGGGGGUGAUGAAUGACGAUCUGCGCGAUACAUUCUUAAGGGAAUCACCACAACUCAAUUAGAUGCUUCACGAGUUUCGAAUAAAGUUAACCUCUUUGUUAGCUUAGUGCAGGUAGUAUCCAGAAGAUGAAGUAAGCCAGAAGAUUUUGGAAAAUUUGAUUUAGUUAAGUGGAUCUGUUGAUUUUCUUGUGGCUUAUCAACAGAUGAGUUCGUGCGUUUUAAAUCUUUUAGUGAUGGUUCGACUAAUUCCAAUAAUUUUCAAAAAUUACGAUAUUUCCUUAAAUUUCCGCUUUGUACCAUACAAAGAUAAGUACGGUUGCAUCUUUACGUGUUCUUCUCGAUGAUGCUUUUGGCAUACUUUCAGUGCUUAAGUCUUGUCUAUGGGGUUGUUUUUCAAUAAGGACGAUUAUCAUGGAUUAUGCAGCGAGGCACUCGCACUGCUCAAAGUUUUCUGCAUCAACCUCGUCUAGUAAGGUAUUUUCUUGUACUGAACAAAAUUGGUUAUUGGUUAUUUAUUAGCUAUGCUAUUUACGUAUUGACAAUUUCGAUCAUUUUGCCAUCACAACAAUAAUUUAAAAAAAAAACUACUAUUUAAGCAAGGAAUAUAUCUAAACAUCCGUCUAAAUACUUUGAAGUGCUGUUUAUUAAAACUACAAGUACACGUGCUCACCACAGACAUAAAAUUAUGUACAAUGUUAUGUAUAUACCUACAAAGUAGUUUUACGUAUCAAUCAAUCUAGAUGUCGCUAGUAAAAUAAAAACUUUUAUUUUAAUACAUAUUUAACACUGGGCUUCAUUUCUACAUCGAAGGGUUCACUUAAAAAAAAAUACUAUUACUUUAAUACUUUUGCCAAACAUUCUCUAUAAAGGUGUUUUUUAUUUCUCUCUUUUUUUACCUCUCUCGGUGUAACCAGAAUAUCGUUGUAAUGUCGUUUCAUAUGAGAAGAAUCCAUAUCACCAGGUUCAAUACAGGUUCUUUUUGAUAUUAUUUUUGGAGCAAAUGUUUCCACUCCAGCAAGCUCAGUGGGGUUUUGAACACCCAAAGUUAGGCACCUGCGCCAAUCUUUUGGAUCCGCUGUAGAUAUGACGAAUUGGUCAGUUACACCUUUCCUUGAUUUUUCUUUAAUGUAACCUCAUACUAAUAAUUGUCAUCACGAACUGAGGCUCCACCCCAAAUUUGAAACCUCAAUUAUAUAGGUUUGGUGUGUCGUUACUGAAUUCACUUUCAGUACAGUUGUUACUCGGAAAAGAUUUUACUGAAGGUGGUCGCAACUCGGGACCUAAUAAUUGGUGGAGUAAAUUCUACUGAAUAAUGGAAUCCUAAGCUCUUUAUCAAUUUUUCACCAGUUAUUUCCCCCUUCAUGUUAUAGGGUCCAAUCUCCCACGGCUCAAUGUUUGUGUUGUCAAUUAUGACAGGACUUAUACCUUUGGUCACUUUCAGUGAUGGUUUCUAAUAAUAAUAAUAAUUUUAAGAAAUGACGAUAUUUCAUUAAAUUUCCGACUAUAUUGUAUGGCGCCAUCAGAUAGGUACGGUUGCAUCUUUACAUGUUCUUCUGGAUGACGCUCAAGUCUUGGGACAUAAAUAGGGACACAUACUAGAGAUAACAACAUUUGUUACUAGAAGGCAGUGUCCGCAAAGUUGUGUAAUGAAACGCUGAAGCAUACCAGAAGACAAAAAAAUAUUUAAAACCAAAUAUAAAAAAUUAAUAAAAAUAAUUCAUAAAAAUAAAAAUAAAUGUCUUCAAUCUGGGAGUCAUAUCUCAUAUCGCAAACAUAGGAAUGAUAUUAUAUUAUGAUUCUUCAAUUAAAUCGACGGGGAAAUCGAAGGGAAAAGUUAACUCGGCAUCCAAGCCUGACCUGACAAGGCAAAAGGAUACAAACUUGAAAAACUCAUCUUCUAUGUCCACCGUUUAUGACUGUGACCCAACAUUAAAUGAUGAUACUAACAGCCGCUAUCCCAAAAGAAAAAGACUAUCAAACAGUUCACCGCCUGACCAAAAAACACAAGUAACAAUUAGUACUUCAAACAGAUAUAAUUUACUACCUGUAGAUCUAACCGAAAAGGAAAGAGACGACUCGCCCACUAACGCCAAAAAAAAAUUUCAAACCACCGCCUAUAAUUUUAUAUGGUAUAGAAGAUAUAUCUAACUUAACAGAACUUAUAAAUAAGACAUACCCCACGAAAGCUACUCAUAUAACGUUAUUAAUAUAGAUCAGCAAAGAGUUAUAGCGCAGUCAACUGAAACAUAUAAAACCUUGAUAGAAUUAAUACGCAGCAAUGGCCUUAUUGGUCACACAUUCACACAGAAGCAGAACAAAUGCUACAGGAUUGUUAUAAAAAACAUGCAUUGUACCACCCCUCCAUCAGCUAUAAUAGAAGAAAUUGGAAAAAAAAACAAGAAACAUGGUAUACGGUGGAAUAGUUUAAUAAGAAGCCCUUAAAUAUGUUCUUUGUAAACGUAGAACCCAGUAUCAAUAACCCUGAAAAAAAAAAUAUACAACACAUUAACCACACUAGAGUCACAAUAGAAGACCCAAGAGAAUCUACCGAAAUUGCCUAAUGGGUGCCAAUAUUAUGGUCGCACUAACAAUAACUGUAUGCGUAUUUAUAGGUGCGUCAAAUGCACACAACGGCAUAAACCUACAGAUUGCCCAAAAAAUGAUAAAAACACACCAGCUACUUUAACUACAAUCCUCAAACAACCAGGAUAUAAACGAUUCGUACAUACGAAAAAUGGCCCAGCUCUGCAAACACUCGUAGCUGGAAUAGAAAUAUAGAGAAUAGACAAACUCAGCCAACGAGCUCUUAAAAGCAAAGUAUAAUAAAACAGUCAGAAAAGCUGAUUGACAUCCUCAUCCAACAAAUAGGGAUUCUUAUGAGUCUACUAACGACUGUAAUAGCUCACCAGCGAAAAUGAAAUGUCUACGUAUCGCAACAUGGAACAUAAAUGGCUUACUCCCAAAUAAGCAAGACGUCGAGGUUUUUAUAAAUUACAAUAAAAUAGAUAUUUUACUGGUCACUAAAACGCAUAUGAUCGACCAAAGAAUAAGAAAAAUUAAAGGAUACAAUGUAUUCUAUGCUAAUCAUACAGGUGGAACAUCUCAUGCUGGGGCAACUGUUAUAAUUAAGGAAAACAUUAUAUAUUAUAUCCUGCCACUAUUCAAACAUUCGCACAUACAAGCCGCUAUAAUAGCUGUAGAUAACUGGCAGGGAUCACUCAAUGUGGCUGCAGUGUACCUACUGUCCACCUAGACACCGGAUAGAUAACAAUAUGUAUAAUAACUUUUUCCAUACGCUCGGUUGAAAAUACAUUGUAGGAGUAGACUGGAACUCUAAGCACAGGAAGCUGAAAAAGUCUAUUGAUAGUAAUAACCUUAGUGUAAUGUCAACAGGUGAACCAACCCAUUGGCCCACAGAAAAAAAGUCCAGAUCUUAUUGACCUUUUCAUCCCUAAAGGGAUCACCUGGGCUCUACGCUAAAGUCCAAUCGUAUGCAAAUGGCUCCUCGGACCACACACCAGUUAUCUGCAAAUUAAGCACAACAUUUAUUUACAAUGAACCACGGGAGACUUUAUACAACCGUAAAACUGACUGGGAUGCCUUUCGAGAAUACAUUAAAGAUAAUGCUAACCUACGCAUACCCCUUAAAAGUGAAAAUGACAUAGACGAUACAGCUUGGCAAGUAACGAGUAAGUUGCUAUCGACCCCAUAUAUAGAAUCUAAAACACAAAGUCAUGACAUACCGAUGGAAAUAAAAUAUCUAAUUGCUACCUAAUUGCUAUAGUACCAGCAGGAAUCGGCAAGAUAAAAAAGUGUUGAAUAAAGCCCAACAGGAUUUAAAGGAAUUGCUCAAAGAUAAUGAAAAUCGUACAUUGCAAGAUAAACUACAGACAUUGUCGCCGUAUAAAGCAGACGAGUAUUCAAUCUGGAAAAUGGCGAAAUUGUUGAAAAGGCCAAAAGAACAUAUUCCUCAUUUGAGACAAGCUAAUCGCGAAUGAUCACAAAAACUACAGGAUAAAGCUGAGCUGUUUGCCAACUUCCUAACGGAUGUAUUUAAGCUUAACGAAUCGGACAUAAUGCAAACCGAAGACGAAUUUGAUGAAAUCAUAAAUAGUGAUCAGCAAAUGUCUUUACCACUAAAUCUUAUUGCUCCGUCAGAAAUAAAAAUCUAUUAAUAAUUUAAAACAAAAAAAGCACCCGGUUUCGAUCUUAUUACCGCAAGUAUUUAAAGAACUACCGAAAAAAGGCAUCGUUCUGUUAACAAUCCUCUUUAACGCAAUAUUAAGACUACAAUAUUUUCCAAAACUAUGAAAGAUGUCCAUUAUAAACAUGGUUCCAAAACCUGGAAAAACUCCAACAGAAGUUUUAUGAUACAGGCCUAUUAGUCCUCUCUCCUUGCUAUCAAACUAAGAAACUAGUCCUUAGUCGCCUUCAACCAUUACUCAAAGAACAAGGAGUAAUACCUGACCACCAAUUCGGCUUUCGUGCUCACCAUGGAAUAAUGGAACAAAUACAUCGUGUUACUCAUAGAAUACGGCAAGCCCUAGAAAGAAAAGAGUAUUGUUCAGCAGUAUUUCUCAAUACAGCAGGCUUUUGAUCGCGUAUGGCAUAAGGGCCUCAAAAAGUAAGCAAAAGUUGAACCUACCAAAUACUGCGUACCUUCUCCCGAAGUCUUAUUUGCAAAACAGUAUGUUCCGGGUCAAAUGUGAGGAUUAUCUACCAUCAAUCAGCCAAAUGAAAGCAGGAGUGCCCCAGGGCCAGUGCUGGGUCUUUUCCUUUAUACACUCUUUACAGGCGAUAUACCAGUUACGGACGAUGUUGUGGUUGCAACCUAUGCAGAUGACACUGCAAUCCUUUCCUUUAAUAAAAAUCCAAACGAAGCAUCCGCAAAACUACAGAAAUGCCUAAACAAAUUAGAAUUAUGGUUAAAUAAGUGGAGGAUACGGGCAAGCCCAGCGAAAUCUGUUAAUGUCACGUUCAGACUAAGAAGAGAAGAGUGCUUAUCUGUGACUCUGGAGGGAGCUGUUUGCCAAAACGACUACAGCCAAAUAUUUGGGCAUGCAUCUGGACAAACCCAUAUUAUUCCAAGGAUCAUGCUAAUGGUAGGCUUCGUAGCAUGUACUGGCUAUUAAGCUAGGUAGAAAAGCCGCACUCAGUCUGGAAAAUAAACUUCUCAUUUACAAAACUGUAUUAAAACCAAUAUGGUCCUAUGGGAUACAGCUCUGGGGGUCAAAAAUCCGCUCUAAUGUCAAAAUGUCGAAAUCCUGCAGCGGAUACAAAAUAAAACACUGCGAAAUAUGAGCUGUGCGCCGUGGUAAACACGAAAUGCUUAAGUCCAUAAAUAUUUGGGAAAUGCCACUUAGACAUUAAAAGAUCAACCGUACGAUACAAAAGGAGACUUCAGCAACACGCCAACCCCCACUGCACCGCACUGUUCAAAGUUUUCUGCGUCAGCCUCCUCUAGUAAUUUGUAAUUUCUCUUGGUGUAACCAGAAUAACAUUGUAAUGUCGUGUCAUAUGAGAAAAAUCUAUAUCACCAGGUUCGUUAAAGGUCAUUCUUUAUAUUAUUUUUGGAGCAAAUGUUUCCACUCCAACAAGCUCAGUGGGGUUUUGAACACCCAAGUUAGGCACUACUAUAAAUUAUGCUUGUCAAAUUGAUACACUCUUCUGAACAUGAAAUAGUCAUCAGUACUCAGUAAAUGUUUAAUAAGAUCUUUAAUUUGUGUACAACCAACUGUCACUUGCAGUAUUUCACGAGGUUGGUGUGUCUUGCCAUAGCCAGAUGGACCCCUCAUUAUUAGUAGAACCCUCCAAUCAUUAUUAUAUUGGGAAUUUCUCUCACAACAUUUAUGCUAUUUAUCUAAAUUUUUGUAGUUUUAUUAGAAUUAUUUGAAUGAUUUCGACCAUUUUAUAUCUGAGAGUAAGACAUCUUUGAUUCCAGAAGUAGGUAUUCCAUUCCUGUAUCGAUCACCAGGUUCAAUACAGGUUCUUCUUGAUAUUAUUUCUGGGGCAAAUGUAUCCACUCCAACAAGCUUAGUGGGAUUUGGAACACCCAAAGUUAGACACCUGCGCCAAUCGUUCGAAUCCGCGGUAGGUAUGACAAAUUGGUCGGUUACAACUUUCCUUGAUUUUUCGUUUUCAAAGUUUUCUGCAUCAGCCACCCCUAGUAAGGUAUUUUUUGAACUGAACGAAAUUGGUUAUUAGUAAUGACAAAUUCGAUAAUUUUACCCAGUUAACAUCACAACAAUAAUUUUCAAAAAUAUUCCUCUAUUAUUUAAGCAAGGAAUAUAUCUAAACAUCUGUCUAAACACUUUGAAGUGCUGUUUAUUAACACUACAAGUACAAGACCUACAAAGUAGUUUUACAUAUAGUCUAGAUGUCGCUAUUAAAAUAAAAAGUAUUAUUUUGAUACAUAUUAAACAAUGUUCCUCAUUUUGACAUUGAAGUGUUCACUUAUAUAAAAUAAAAAUAAAAAAGCAUUUUAUUUCUUACAUCUUAUAAAACAAGAUGUUAGAUUAGAUUAGGUUAGUUUCCUUACAUGCAAUUGUAAGACACAUUGACAAAUCGGUCGGUUACAACUUUCCUUGAUUUUUCUUUUUAAGAUAGCCUCAUACUGAUUCUUAUCAGGAAUUGAGGCUCCGCCUCAAAUUUGAAACCUCAAUUACAUAGGUUUGGUUUGUUCAUACUGAAUUAACUUUCAGUAAAGUUGUUACUUGGAAGAGAUUUUACUGUAGGUGGUCGCAACUCAGGAUAUUGCCUCAUAACUGGUGGAGUAAAUUCUGCUGAAUAUUGUAAUCCUUAACCCUUUAUAAACUUUUCUCCCGUGUGUGUGUGUGUGGCACACGGUGAUACUAUGGAAGGCUCUCAGCCGCAAAGGUCAGCUGAAGUCGACGGGCAGAAAUGUUGCCUGUUGAUUCACAGUCUAUACGCUGGACCACCGUUUUCCUGAUUUCUUCUGUCAUUGUUUACCGUAUACUUACAUGUUCGUUCAUUGUAACGUUGAAGGUGUAUUUAUAUACUGAAUAAAAUAGAAAGUCAUUCGCUUCGCCGUACGAUGCAACAGAGCUAGAAUAGAAUUUGUGUACCUACAACAAACUGUCAUUUGCAGUAUUUCACGGGUUGGUGUGUCUUGCCAUAGCCAGAUGGACCCCUCAUUAUUAGUAGAACCCUCCAACCAUUAUUAUAUUGGGAAUUUCUCUCACAACAUUUAUGCUAUUUAUCUAAAUUUUUGUAGUUUUAUUAAAUUAUUUGAAUGAUUUCAACCAUUUUAUAUCUGAGAGUAAGACAUCUUUGAUUCCAGAAGUAUUCCAUUCCUGUAUCGAUCACCAGGUUCAAUACAGGUUCUUCUUGAUAUUAUUUCUGGGGCAAAUGUAUCUACUCCAACAAGCUUAGUGGGGUUUGGAACACCCAAAGUUAGACACCUGCGCCAAUCGUUUGAAUCCGCGGUAGGUAUGACAAAUUGGUCGGUUACAACUUUCCUUGAUUUUUCGUUUUCAAAGUUUUCUGCAUCAGCCACCCCUAGUAAGGUAUUUUUUGAACUGAACGAAAUUGGUUAUUAGUAAUGACAAAUUCGAUAAUUUUACCCAGUUAACAUCACAACAAUAAGUUUCAAAAAUAUUCCUCUAUUAUUUAAGCAAGGAAUAUAUCUAAACAUCUGUCUAAACACUUUGAAGUGCUGUUUAUUAACACUACAAGUACAAGACCUACAAAGUAGUUUUACAUAUAGUCUAGAUGUCGCUAUUAAAAUAAAAAGUAUUAUUUUGACACAUAUUAAACAAUGUUCCUCAUUUUGUCAUUGAAGUGUUCACUUAUAUAAAAUAAAAAUAAAAAAGCCUUUUAUUUCUUACAGCUUAUAAAACAAGAUGUUAGAUUAGAUUAGGUUAGUUUGCUUACAUACAAUUGUAAGACACAUUGACAAAUUGGUCGGUUACAACUUUCCUUGAUUUUUCUUUUUAAGGUAGCCUCAUACUGAUUCUUAUUAGGAAUUGAGGCUCCGCCUCAAAUUUGAAACCUCAAUUACAUAGGUUUGGUUUGUUCAUACUGAAUUAACUUUCAGUAAAGUUGUUACUUGGAAGAGAUUUUACUGUAGGUGGUCGCAACUCAGGAUAUUGCCUCAUAACUGGUGGAGUAAAUUCUGCUGAAUAUUGUAAUCCUUAACUCUUUAUAAAUUUUUCUCCCGUGUGUGUGUGGCUCACGGUGAUACUAUGGAAGGCUCUCAGCCGCAAAGGUCAGCUGAAGUCGACGGGCAGAAAUGUUGCCUGUUGAUUCACAGUCUAUACGCUGGACCACCGUUUUCCUGAUUUCUUCUGUCAUUGUUUACCGUAUACUUACAUGUUCGUUCAUUGUAACGUUGAAGGUGUAUUUAUAUACUGAAUAAAAUAGAAAGUCAUUCGCUUCGCCGUACGAUGCAACAGAGCUAGACCAGUAAUUUGGGUGAGGAAAAUCCAUAUCACCAGGUUCAAUACAGGUUCUUCUUGAUAUUAUUUCUGGGGCAAAUGUAUCCACUCCAACAAGCUCAGUGGGGUUUUGAACACCCAAGUUAGGCACUACUAUAAAUUAUGCUUGUCAAAUCGAUACACUCUUCUGAACAUGAAAUAGUCAUCGGUACUCAGUAAAUGUUAAUCUUGAAUUAGUGUACAACAAACUGUCAUUUGCAGUAUUUCACGAGGUUGGUGUGUCUUGCCAUAGCCAGAUGGACCCCUCAUUAAAAGUAGUACCCUCCAACCAUUAUUAUAUUGGGUAUUUCGCUCUCAACAUCAACAUUGACAAAUUGAUCGGUUACAACUUUCCUUGAUUUUCUCUCUCAGGAUAUUGCCUCAUAACUGGUGGAGUAAAUUCUGCUGAAUAUUGUAAUCCUUAACUCUUUAUAAAUUUUUCUCCCGUGUGUGUGUGGCUCACGGUGAUACUAUGGAAGGCUCUCAGCCGCAAAGGUCAGCUGAAGUCGACGGGCAGAAAUGUUGCCUGUUGAUUCACAGUCUAUACGCUGGACCACCGUUUUCCUGAUUUCUUCUGUCAUUGUUAACCGUAUACUUACAUGUUCGUUCAUUGUAACGUUGAAGGUGUAUUUAUAUACUGAAUAAAAUAGAAAGUCAUUCGCUUCGCCGUACGAUGCAACAGAGCUAGACCAGUAAUUUGGAUGAGGAAAAUCCAUAUCACCAGGUUCAAUACAGGUUCUUCUUGAUAUUAUUUCUGGGGCAAAUGUAUCCACUCCAACAAGCUCAGUGGGGUUUUGAACACCCAAGUUAGGCACUACUAUAAAUUAUGCUUGUCAAAUCGAUACACUCUUCUGAACAUGAAAUAGUCAUCGGUACUCAGUAAAUGUUUAUCUUGAAUUAGUGUACAACAAACUGUCAUUUGCAGUAUUUCACGAGGUUGGUGUGUCUUGCCAUAGCCAGAUGGACCCCUCAUUAUAAGUAGAACUCUCCAACCAUUAUUAUAUUGGGAAUUUCGCUCACAACAUUUAUGCUAUUUAUCAAAAAUUUUGUAGUUUUAUUAGAAUUAUUUGAAUGAUUUCGACCAUUUUAUAUCUGAGAGUAAGACAUCUUUGAUUCCAGAAGUAGGUAUUCCAUUCCUGUAUCGAUCACCAGGUUCAAUACAGGUUCUUCUUGAUAUUAUUUCUGGGGCAAAUGUAUCCACUCCAACAAGCUUAGUGGGAUUUGGAACACCCAAAGUUAGACACCUGCGCCAAUCGUUCGAAUCCGCGGUAGGUAUGACAAAUUGGUCGGUUACAACUUUCCUUGAUUUUUCGUUUUCAAAGUUUUCUGCAUCAGCCACCCCUAGUAAGGUAUUUUUUGAACUGAACGAAAUUGGUUAUUAGUAAUGACAAAUUCGAUAAUUUUACCCAGUUAACAUCACAACAAUAAUUUUCAAAAAUAUUCCUCUAUUAUUUAAGCAAGGAAUAUAUCUAAACAUCUGUCUAAACACUUUGAAGUGCUGUUUAUUAACACUACAAGUACAAGACCUACAAAGUAGUUUUACAUAUAGUCUAGAUGUCGCUAUUAAAAUAAAAAGUAUUAUUUUGAUACAUAUUAAACAAUGUUCCUCAUUUUGACAUUGAAGUGUUCACUUAUAUAAAAUAAAAAUAA